GCAUGUGAGAGUGAUCUGGCUGUGACAUCUGUCACCGCACUGAUCUUCAGGGUUGAUUCGGCUGAUCUGGCUGGGUAGGCGGGUGUCCCCUUCCCCCCUCACCGCUCCAUGUGCGUCCCUCCCAAAGCUGCGCUUCUCCUGGGCAAAUUGAACUUUAUAGCUCACAAUUUCCCUUUACUUGAUUGUGACUGAGACACUCUUGUUUUGGUUACCUUAGAAGUUAUAGCAUCAAUUAAUACAAAGUCCAAGCUUAUCAAUAUUUAUAAUUUCAUUCAGAGAAUAACAGGUGCCUUAGGCUACUGUAGAGAACCUUCUUUA
ensembl:misc_RNA 7SK 7SK RNA